rnacentral:lncRNA from 1 species
UCUACAAAGUUGCUACCAUCAUCUUUCAGCUUAGCUUUCUCUAGGAACGUAUUGAAAUUCAGGGUUGCUACUGCGUGAGCCAUUGAUCUACAACAUAAAAUACUGCAAAGUUAACUUAGACUAUGUUCAAGACAAUUAGAGUUCGGCUAAUCAUAUUACUAAUAAACUCCCACUCAAAUAGACACCCCUUUAGUUAUUUGAGUGUGGCAUGAUCCAAAUUCACUACCUGAAGUCCGAUCAUCACGUGAGUUGAGUGGUUUCAGUGGUAAACAUCUCUAUGUUAAUCAUAUCAACUAUAUGAUUCAUGCUCGACCUUUCGGUCUCUUGUGUUCCGAGGCCAUGUCUGCACAUGCUAGGCUCAUCAAGUUUAACCCAAGUGUUCCGCGUGUGCAAUUGUUUUGCACCUGUUGUAUGUGAACGUUGAGUCUAUCACACCCGAUCAUCACGUGGUGUCUCGAAACGACAAACUGUCGCAAUGGUGCACAGUCGGGGAGAACACAAUUUUAUCUUGAAAUUUAGUGAGGGAUCACCUUAUAAUGCUACCGUCGUUCUAAGCAAGAUAAGGUGCAUAAAAGGAUUAACAUCACAUGCAAUUCAUAAGUGAUAUGAUAUGGCCAUGAUCUUGUGCUUCUUGAUCUCCAUCACCAAAGCACCGACAUGAUCUUCAUCGUCACCGGCGCCACACCAUGCUAUCCAUCAUCAUGCCGCCAUCGAGGUCGUCGUGCUAUCUAUGCUAUUGCUACUAAAGCUACAACCUAGCAAUAUAGUAAACACAUGUACAAACACAAACAUUAGUUUAAAGGCAACCCUAUGGCUCCUGCCGGUUACCGUAGCAUCGACGUGCAAG